GAUGUGAAAUCCCCGGGCUCUACCUGGGAACUGCAUUCGAUACUGGCAGGCUUGAGUCUUGUAGAGGGGGGUAGAAUUCCAGGUGUAGCGGUGAUAUGCGUAGAGAUCUGGAGGAUUACCGGUGGCGAAGGCGGCCCCCUGGACAAAGACUGACGCUCUGGUGCGAAAGCGUGGGUAGCAAACAGGAUUAGAUACCCUGGUAGUCCACGCCGUAAACGAUGUCUACUUGGAGGUUGUGCCCUUGAGGCGUGGCUUCCGGAGCUAUCGCGUUAAGUAGACCGCCUGGGGAGUACGGCCGCAAGGUUAAAACUCAAAUGAAUUGACGGGGGCCCGCACAAGCGGUGGAGCAUGAGGUUUAAUUCGAUGCAACGCGAAGAACCUUACCUGGUCUUGACAUCCACGGAAGUUUUCAGAGAUGAGAAUGUGCCUUCGGGAACUGUGAGACAGGUGCU
rnacentral:rRNA from 1 species